ensembl:lncRNA
GAUAAAUGCUAAAAAAUUACUUAAGAUUUAUCUUUAACAAUAGAUAUUAGAAGUUAAAUUUAACUGUUUUUAAAUUCCCACCGGAGUUAAAGGGACCUGCGGCCUUGCAUGUGCUCUGCAUCUUCAACUGCAGAGACAGUCAGUCUAAGCUCAGUGUAGCUAACUGCAACACACUUUUUUUUUUUCAACACAAGAUAUGCUUGGGGGGAUUUAAAUGAUAAUAUUAAUGUUUUCUUAUUCAGCACAAAUCAAUAAUAUUAUAGUUAUUUGCUCAUGGUCUGGUUCUCUGGCCCAGCGUUUCUGAUGUUAUUCUAAGGUUUUUGAGUUUCUUAUGUUUAAUGGCGGGUUAGUUGAGUUUGGCUUAACGUUAUUAAUAUCGUUUUAAGGAGUUUAUGUUAGGGCUGUAUAUUACCACGUUUGUAUUUUCAUGCCAUGUUUCCUGUUUUAUUUUGAAAGAGUCUGUUGCGUUCAGUUCAUUAAUCUCACUUCCCUGUUGUGUCAAUAGACUCAUUUGUCCAAGCUACUACCCUGCUGUCCCUCUGUCGUGUCUCAACCUCCAACAGGAAAGUAGAAGUCCUCAUAUGACACCAGGUGCCGAGGUCCUGUCUCAACCUCCUUCAGACCAAUUGACACCAGGUGCCGAGGUCCUACCUCAACCUCCUUCAGACCAAUUGGCUCAAGGACCAAGUAUUCUGGGGGUUCCAAGCCACACGCUUUACUCAGCUGCCCUGGACAACAUGAAGGGCACCUCUGGCUCAAUCACCCUGAACAACAAAAACAUUAGCAACACUUCACCAAGAAGGGGUGUGCUGUUUUGCACUGCCUGUGAACCAAACCAAAGUCUAUGGCUGGAGAUCAACACAGAGAGAGGGAUUGUGACUUCAUGCUGUACUCCAGAUCUGGGACGGUGAGAAGCAAGUGGACAAAUGAUGAAGUGAAGGUUGCUGAGCGGCACGUUUCACUUCAUAAAAAGCUGCAAAGUACCAGGUAAAAAGGAAUGUGACUGCUGCCUCCAAGCAGAGCCGGCAGCUCUGAAAGACAGAGACUGGGUUGUCAUAAGGUACUACAGCCACAACAGGAUCAUAGCAUUAAAAGAAAGAUGCAAGAAAAAAAGAAACAAGCAAGAGAGAUACUUUGUUACUUCCACAGUUAUGUCAGUAUUGCAGUUUUCUGUAUUGCAUUGUUCUUACUCAUAAAUCUGUGGUUUAUGCUGGGUGCUUUUUGCAAUUAAAUGAUAAAAAAGGCAGAUAAUGUUCCACGUUUUUAUUCACAUGAACAUUCACUACAAAAUGAAUUAAUGCAUUACAAUAUCAAGACUUAAAAAGUAGACUGACCACAUUUGACCCAUGUCUUUUUUUUUUUUAAAAAGUCUUUACACAGCUCAGAUUUACUGUUUUAUUAACACAUAAAUGUCUGAUAUUUCUGUCAGAAGUUACCCAACUGGUGAGCAUUACUAUUGUGCAUCCAUGUCUAUUAUAUUGUAAUCUCAAAAGGAGCCAAGCUAAAAAUGCAGAACCUACCGUUACCUGGUCCUUAUAAGUCAUGUAUACUUGAAAAUUAUGUGUUUCCAUGGGCUUCACAAUUCACCUAAACAUGAAAUAUCUGUGUGUGACCUUAUGGUACUCAUAAGUCACAUAAACCUGACAGUGUCCUCACAAGUAGCAUUAAAUUCAGGUUUGACCAAAAUUUAGCCCUAGCCAAAAUCUCAACAGAUGGGUGUGUUCCUGGAAGCAUGGGUCAAAUUUUUUGAGAUUCCCAUGCCUCUAGGACCUUCGGAAAGGCACGUUCCCAUUUGUCACAUUUUUGUCAUACGUACUGAUAUAUCACGAAAACACGUAUGUGUGUGUGUGUGUGUGUGUGUGUGUGUGUGUGUGUGUGUGU